GCGACUGUGGUUUAGUGGUAUAAUUCUCGCUUAGGGUGCGAGAGGUCCCAGGUUCGAUCCCUGGCAGUCGCC
rnacentral:tRNA from 1 species